UACGGCGAGUGAAGCGGCAAAAGCUCAAAUUUGAAAUCUGGUACCUUCGGUGCCCGAGUUGUAAUUUGGAGAGGGCAACUUUGGGGCCGUUCCUUGUCUAUGUUCCUUGGAACAGGACGUCAUAGAGGGUGAGAAUCCCGUGUGGCGAGGAGUGCGGUUCUUUGUAAAGUGCCUUCGAAGAGUCGAGUUGUUUGGGAAUGCAGCUCUAAGUGGGUGGUAAAUUCCAUCUAAAGCUAAAUAUUGGCGAGAGACCGAUAGCGAACAAGUACAGUGAUGGAAAGAUGAAAAGAACUUUGAAAAGAGAGUGAAAAAGUACGUGAAAUUGUUGAAAGGGAAGGGCAUUUGAUCAGACAUGGUGUUUUGUGCCCUCUGCUCCUUGUGGGUAGGGGAAUCUCGCAUUUCACUGGGCCAGCAUCAGUUUUGGUGGCAGGAUAAAUCCAUAGGAAUGUAGCUUGCCUCGGUAAGUAUUAUAGCCUGUGGGAAUACUGCCAGCUGGGACUGAGGACUGCGACGUAAGUCAAGGAUGCUGGCAUAAUGGUUAUAUGCCGCCCGUCUUGAA
rnacentral:rRNA from 2 species